rnacentral:lncRNA from 1 species
CAGAAUACGCAACUGAAUAGAGAAUAGUUGUAUAAAAGUGUGGGUAUAUUAUUUACUGUGUUGACAAGUGUAACACACGUGUCUAGAGAGCCUAACCUCCCUCCACCGAGUAAACCCUCGGUCUAUACAAAUAUGUAUUUCUCUAGAUAAUCCUCCAAUGCAAUGCUUAUUCCCUUUUAUACCCAUAUACUUUCCUUUUCCUAACUGCUGAGGCAGUUAGGAAUUUCUACUCCCUACUCUCUCUCUUCUUCCUUUGCACAUACACCUUCUACCCUCUAACAUUACCCUCAUCCUGAAGAUCAACCUUGUCCCCAAGGUUGAAUUCUGGGAACUGCUCUUGAAUAGCAACCAUGUCUUCCCAUGUGGCACCAUCCACUCCUCCUUCAUUCUCAUUCUAUCAACAUUUGUUCUCUUGUUUCCUCUUCUUUCUACUGUUGUUUUCUGUCCAGCACCCGUAUUGGCCAAUAAGUAGGACCCUCCAUCUGCAAAUCAGCUGUAGCUCCUUUUGCUACACUCUUCGCUCCAAUCGCUAUCUUCAACUGUGAUGCAUGGAAUACGGGAUGAAUCCUAGCAGUGUCAGGAAGCAGCAGACGGAAGGCAACCUCCCCCACCUGUUGCACCACUUUAAAAGGCCCGUAAUAUCUUGCGGCUAGUUUUGGGUGUAUCCUGGUUGGCAUGGAGGAUUGUCUGUGAGGCCGAAUUUUAUCCCCCACCUUAAUUGUCACCUUUUUUCUGUGGCGAUUUGCCUAUUUGGUCAUAACAUCUUGGGCUCUAGUUAAAUGAAACUUCAGCUGCUUAAGAGCCUCAUCCCUAGUAUGCAAAUCUUGUGCCACUGCCUCCACCAAAGUUUCCNCCGGUAUAAAUCUGAUUAAGGUUGGAGGUGCUCGUCCAUAAACCGUUUCGAAAGGCGUGCAUUUUCCUGCUCCUUGAUAACUGGUGUUGUACUAGUAUUCUGCCCAUAGCAGUAUAGCACUUCACCCUUUAGGUUGUUCCGAACAGAAACACCUUAAGUAACCCUUCAACACUCGAUUUAAUACCUCUGUUUGUCCAUCCGACUCCGGAUGAUAUGCAGUGCUCAUUUGAAGGUGUGUCCCCUGUAGCUUAAACAACUCUUUCCAGAACAAACUUAAGAAUAAAGGGUCCCUGUCACUUACUAUCGAUUUGGGCACGCCAUGCAACUUUACUACUUCUUUCACAAAUUCUUCUGCCACGGCACGGGCUGUAUAAGGGUGCUUCAAGGGAAUGAAAUGACCGUAUUUGCUGAGACGGUCUCCUAUAACCAAAACUACAUCAUAUCCCUAGGAUUUUGGGAGUUUCACAAUGAAAUCCAUACUGAUUUCCUCCCAUAUGGCUUGGGGAAUCGGAAGAGGCUGCAGUAAUCCUUGUGGUGAUGUUGUUAAAUACUUAUGCUGCUGGCACACCACACAUUGAGCCACAUAAUCUGUUACUGCUUUCUUCAUACCCUUCCAGUAUAUGGAUUGUGCCACCCGCCUAUAAGUUCGAUAUAUUCCAGAAUGUCCACCUAUGGAUGAUGUAUGCAUUUCAGCCAGUAUCGUGGGGAUCCAUUUGGAUUUAGUAGACAGCACUAACCUGCCUUUAUGAUGCAGUCUUCCCCCUUCCAGAGUAUAAGCCGAAUGUUUAUCCGGGUCCCCUGUGAUAUCUGCCACAAUCUUCUUGAGUUCUUCAUCCUCUUCCACUUCUUCCAAGAUCUCCUGGAAGUCUUUCCAAUAAGGUCUAGCUAUCACCCGCAACUCCUUUUCCUCCAACUUUUCAUCUAACUCUUCCUUCUCUGUCGUGGCUUCCAGCCCUUUCCGUGACAAGGCAUCCGCCACUUUGUUCAUAGCCCCAGCCUUGUAUAGGAUAUCAAAGUCGUAGCCUAAUAGUUUAGCAAUCCAAUUUUGCUAAUUCUGGGUGGUUAUUCUUUGUUCCAACAAAUACUUCAAACUUCUUUGAUCAGAAUGCACCACGAAUUUUUGGCCUAUGAGAUAUGGUCGCCAAUGCUGGAUAGCUAACACCAAGGCCAUGAGUUCUUUCUCAUAUAUGGAUUUGCUUAAGGUUCCUUCUGANAGAGCUUUGCUAAAGAAAGCUAUAGGUCGCCUAUUUUGUGUCAAAACUACUCCCACUCCAACCCUGAUGCAUCACACUCAACAUGAAAAGGUUGGGUGAAAUCAGGCAAGGCUAACACAGGGGCAGUUGUGAUAGCUAUUUUUAACUUCUCCAUUGCUUCUCUAGCCGAGUUGGUCCAUGCAAAGUUUCCCUUCUUCAACAUGUCAGUGAGGGGGCGAGCAAGUUUACCAUAGUUUCUUACAAAUCUCCGAUAAUAGCCAGUUAAACCCAAAAAUCCUCUCAAGGCUUUAAUAGUUUUGGGUUCCUCCCAUCCCAUGAUAGCCUCCACUUUUCCCCAUCCAUUUCUAUCCCUUUCUCCGAUAUAAUGUGGCCCAAGUAUCUGAUAUGAGUUCUCCCAAAUUCGCUUUUCUUGGGAUUGGCUACCCACUGAUGUUGCUGCAACAAACUUAAUAUACACCUUACAUGUUCUAAGUGAUCUUCCCACGAGCUACUGUAUAUCAAAAUAUCAUCAAAAAACACUAGGACAAACUUCCUCAAGUGCGAUCUCAACAACUCAUUCAUUGCACUUUGGAAUGUGGCAGGGGCAUUGGUAAGCCCGAAGGGCAUCACCAAGAAUUCGUAAUGCCCCUAGUGUGUCCUAAAAGCAGUUUUUUGGAUAUCCUCCCCUCCCAUUCGAAUCUGAUGAUACCCAACUUUGAGGUCUAUUUUGGAGAAGAACUUUGCACCCCUCAAUUCAUCAAGCAACUCCUCUAUCACAGGUAUAGGGAACUUGUCCGGUAUAGUGGCUCUAUUGAGAGCCCUAUAAUCUAUGCAGAAACGCCAACUCCCAUCUUUCUUCUUGACUAGUAUGACCGGACUAGAAUACGGGCUAGUACUAUGCCGGAUAAUUCCCAUUCUCAACAUUUCUUCCACUUGCUUCUCAAUUUCCCCUUUUAAUAAGUGAGGGUAUCUGUAUGGUCGCACAUUGACGGGACCUAUCCCUUCCUUCAAUAUGAUUUUGUUCUCCAUCCCACGUUCUGGAGGUAACCCGUAAGGCUCCAGGAACACCUGCUGAAAUUCAGACAGCAAUUCUUCCAACUCUUCUUGUUGUCUCCCUGUCAACUCCUGUUCCUUUUCUCCUCUUCCAUCCAGACCCAUAUGUCUUAGCCCCCACAUUACUGUCACUGAUUCAACUUCAAUUAUUUUAAGCAAGGCCGCAGGGGCUAUCACUUCUCGUGCUAACGUUGGAUCUCCUUUAAUUAUUACUUCCUUUCUUCCUUGUUUAAAGGACAUGGUUAAUUUACUCCAAUUGGUCAUUACUUCUCCCAGCUUUGCCAUCCAAUCUACUCCCAGAAUCACAUCGACACCUCCUAAUUCGAACACGUGAUAUUGCUCUGCAAUCUCCACUCCACCCAGCUGUAUCACUAUCCCUUGGCAGCAUUCGUGAGUCCGUUUUCGCUGCCCAUCACCCAAGCAAACUGGAUGCGUCUGGUCUUUGUUCAUCUCCAGUUGAAGCUCCUCCACCAGCGCCUUUGAUAUAAAGUUGUGGCUGGCACCACUAUCCACCAUUAUCAAUACCACCCUNUCCCCCAAGCUCCCUUGAAGUUUCAUGGUUCUCGGUUGGGUCAUCCCACCUGCAGAGAGCGGUGAUAAUUCUAAUCGCUCCAUCUCCAACUCCUUUUUGGUUUCUCCUAGAUCGUCCUCCUCGUCUUCCCCUAAAAUUGUCACUCGCAAACUCCGUUCUGGACAUCGAUGUCCAGGACCGAACUGGCCGUCACAUCUGAAACAACGGCCUUCUUCACGACGCUUAAGAUACUCGUGGUAGGGAAGGUUUGGCACCCCUCUGCCCAUGGUUUCGUUCCCCACUGCACUCGCACUUCUUCCCGAACUACCUUCUCCUCCCCUAGAUCCUAUACUCUCUGCACCCGCCGCUCGUCCUCAUUGAUUGCGAAUCGAGUCAACUCGAAUUAUCGCCCCCGCAGUUCGCCCCCCAGAUAUCUGUGAUCGACUCGCAUUUCCACCCCCAGUCUUCGUUCCUCCUGGUAUAAUCUCUACAACUUUUGCGAUUCGCAUCGCCGCUAGUAGUUCCUGCGGAUUGUGUGGACGUAUAAGAUCCCUUACGCUGUCCUGUAAUCCGGCUAAGAAAUAGCCUAGUUGUUGCUCGUCCGUCAACCCCUUCGUUUGCCCCACCAGGAUUUCGAAGUCGCGUAUAUAUUCAUCAGCUGUACCUGUUUGACGGUUCGCCGUCAAUCUUUCAAAAAUGGUCCCUCUGCUUCGCUCCCCAAAUCUUCCAAUCAUCGCCUCUUUGAGCCCUUCCCAUGUGUGGUCUCUCGCCUUCUCUCUCCAAAAUCGAUACCAAUAGCCAGCACUCCCCUCCAUGCUGACGUAUGUGAUUCAGACCUUCUCCUCCUCCAUCACUCCCUGUAAUUCGAAGAACCACUCCGAACGAUUGAUCUAGUUCAAUGGAUUUGUGCCUUCGAAUACGAGAAGUUCUACUUUCUUUCUCCAAUUAAAUUGUCCCUCCGCCAGUUCUGUCUCUCGUCCUCCGUUCUCCUCCUCUCGUCUCCCUCUCCGGUCACCAUUCACCGACGCCUGGCUCCCGUCUGAUGCCCCCUCGUGGUCGCGAUUGCGACCUCCCAAAAUGCGCAUAACCUCUUGAAGGUCUUGGCGAAUGGCAGCUGAAUAUUGUCUCAUCGCUGCCGUUUCAACUUUCAACCCCUCUACAGUAAUCCCCAAAGCUUCGAGCUGGUUCUCAACCACCUUAAGGCGUCCUUCAUUUUUCCCCUCCAUAACUCCGAUCAAUCGCUACCAGGGAUCCGGCAGGUCAGACCACUUGAUAGAGAUCUUAAUGAUAAUCCCUAACCAACUCACUCACACACUCACAGAAUACGCAACAGAAUAGAGAAUAGCUGUAUAAAAGUGUGGGUAUAUUAUUUACUGUGUUGACAAGUGUAACACACGUGUCUAGAGAGCCUAACCUCCCUCCACCGAGUAAACCCUCGGUCUAUACAAAUAUGUAUUUCUCUAUAUAAUCCUCCAAUGCAAUACUUAUUCCCUUUUAUACCCAUAUACCCCGCCUUUUCCUAACUGCAGAGGGAGUUAGGAAUUUCUACUCCCUACUCUCUCUCUCUUCUUCCUUCGCACGUACACCUUCCACCCUC